rfam:Oryza sativa Japonica Group DNA, chromosome 3, cultivar: Nipponbare, complete sequence.
AAUAAGUGCAGUUUUGCACUAUUCACGUUUAACGUUUAACCGUUCGUCUUAUUUGAAAUUUUUUUAUGAUUAGUAUUUUUAUUGCUACUAGAUGAUAAAAUAUGAAUAAUACUUUAUAUGUGAUUAAAUAUUUUCAAUUUUUUAAAUAAGACGAACGGUCAAACGUUGGACACGGAUAUCUACUACUGCACUUAUU